ACCGGUGACACGGGGUGCCCUGCCGGAUGCAGGGCUGAGAUCACACCCGUCGAACCUGAUCUAGCGGACGCACGGCGUCCGGGGCCUAGCGGAGGGAUGUCAGCCAUGGAACCU
rnacentral:ncRNA from 2 species